GAAGUAUGAAAUUCAAGAGGGGGCUUCUAACCUCAAUCUUAAGCAAUGAAAUUUGUUUAUACUUCU
rnacentral:tRNA from 1 species